rnacentral:rRNA from 1 species
ACUGCCUGAUGGGGGGGGAGUAACUACUGGAAACGGUAGCUAAUACCGCAUAAUGUCUGCGGACCAAAGCGGGGGACCUCCGGGCCUCGCGCCAUCAGAUGAACCCAUGUGGGAUUAGCUUGUAGGUAAGGUAACGGCUUACCUAGGCGACGAUCCCUAGCUGGUCUGAGAGGAUGAUCAGCCACACUGGGACUGAGACACGGCCCAG